UACGGAGGAUCCGAGCGUUAUCCGGAUUUAUUGGGUUUAAAGGGUGCGUAGGUGGAUUGGUAAGUCAGUGGUGAAAGUCUGUCGCUUAACGGUAGGAUUGCCAUUGAUACUGUUGGACUUGAAUAUGGAUGAGGUAGGCGGAAUGUGUAGUGUAGCGGUGAAAUGCAUAGAUAUUACACAGAACACCGAUUGCGAAGGCAGCUUACUAAUCCAUCAUUGACGCUGAGGCACGAAAGCGUGGGGAUCAAACAGGAUUA
rnacentral:rRNA from 1 species